ensembl:lncRNA LINC02829 long intergenic non-protein coding RNA 2829
CUCUCUCUUUCUCCUGCCACCAUGUGAAGAAGGUGCUUGCUUCCCCUUGGUGUUCUGCCAUAAAUUUUAUCAUUUCUGGAUUGCUGUCUGUCAUUUUGGGAAGAAAAUCAAACAAGCAUCUGCCCUGCUCAGUCCUGGGUGGAGAAGCUACCAGAACCACAUCUCCUGUCUGUCCCACCAUAAGUCUCUGCUUCAUUCACGCUUUCAUGUGUCGUGCAUCAAGCAAGCAUUUGCCUGUAGGCUUGGGGAGCUCUGAGAGGGGUUGAGAGUGAACAAAAUUAAUCAAAUCGUAUAACAGAAGAGGAAGUCCCAUCCUGCCGAGGAUCCUGGAUGUGAGAACCUGCUGCUGGCCUGGUGGGAUCGUGGUGCCCCAGGAGCAUGAACUGCUCAGGAGCAGACCCUGACCAGAUCCCCUGCAGGCCUGGAACAGCCUGAUCAGCAGCCUCCUAAGCCCCAUGGCUGCCACAGUGGGCCUCAUUGUCCUUCCCUAUCACCUAGCCGGGGUGUUCCCAGCUGCCAGACAGUGCCAACUGGUGGUGCCUGCCCAUCAGUGCCCCAAGACAGCCACUACUUUUCGAAGAAUGAGACCACCAGCUGCUUUGUGGCCAGCUCCAGCUUACUGGUGAGUAUUUUUAGGUAGAAUGUUCCAGACUAGUGAAGUCUUUGAGAUUUUCUGCUUCUUGUUCACUGCUUCCUUCUGAUGUGGACCAUGCGGAAAGAGGCAGAACACAGGAACCCACACAUGGGAGAAUAGCAGGCAUUUGACUGGACUGUGCCAAAAGAGUUGUUCAAGUACAAUAUCAAGCAAGACUGUAGUUGCAAAAAGACAUAACCAACAACUUGGUUUCAAUUUGAGCACCUUAAUAAACAAACUGAUUUAACUG